AGGAUAAACGCUGGCGGCGUGCCUAACACAUGCAAGUCGAACGCGCUUUCGGGCUUCGGUGCGAGAGCGAGUGGCGGACGGGUGAGUAACACAUGGGUACCUGCCUUUCAGUGAGGGAUACCGGCGAGAAAUCGCCGACAAUACCGCAUAGGCUUCUCGGUCGCAAGAGCGGGAAGCAAAGUGGCGCAAGUCACGCUGGAAGAUGGGCCUGUGGCCGAUUAGCUAGUUGGGGGGUAAUGGCCUCCCAAGGCGACGAUCGGUAGCUGGUCUGAGAGGACGAUCAGCCACACUGGGAUUGAGAACGGCCCAGACUCCUACGGGGGGCAGCAGUGAGGAAUUUUCCGCAAUGGACGAAAGUCUGACGGAGCAACGCCGCGUGCAGGAGGAAGGUUUUCGGAUCGUAAACUGCUUUUCUCGGGGACGAGCAAGGACGGUACCCGAGGAAGAAGCCCGGCUAACUACGUGCCAGCAGCCGC
rnacentral:rRNA from 1 species